rnacentral:rRNA from 1 species
UACGAAGGGGGCUAGCGUUGCUCGGAAUCACUGGGCGUAAAGCGCACGUAGGCGGCUUUUUAAGUCAGAGGUGAAAUCCUGGAGCUCAACUCCAGAACUGCCUUUGAUACUGGAGAGCUUGAGUCCGGGGAGGUGAGUGGAACUGCGAGUGUAGAGGUGAAAUUCGUAGAUAUUCGCAAGAACACCAGUGGCGAAGGCGGCUCACUGGCCCGGUACUGACGCUGAGGUGCGAAAGCGAUGG